CCACCCACAGUCCGGCCCCUUCUGUAUGUGUAGCAAAGGCAGAGAUUACACACUUCCUUGUUGUCAUACCCAUUCAUACCGUCAGUUGGAGCUCUGACAGGUUAAAAGCAGUCAGCUGACACUCUCAGCCAAUCACAGCUGCCCAUUGCCUCUCGGGGUAAUACUUCCUUAUUAGCGAAAGCAGCACAGAGGGGAUAGACUGCCGUGGACUCUUAUUUAGCAUUAAAACAUUACAACAUUAAAAACUGUUUAAUGCUGAAAGAAAUGAUGGUACCAGGGGACUCCAGACACUAUAACCAGUUUAAUGAGAUGAAUCAGAUACAGUGCCUACGGUGUCCCUUUAAGGAUAG
rnacentral:lncRNA from 1 species